rnacentral:lncRNA from 1 species
UUUUUCAGUCCUAAAUAAUCACCUUAAAAAACGGUCGAAACUCUAGUUAUCCGAAACAGCGUAAUUGAUUUUGGCGCAUUCCGGAUUCUUAAUUACGGUAAAAAAAAGUAAAGAAAAAAUAAUAAAAUAAUACAAUGAGUGAUGCUAGUUAUAUUUAAAUAUAUUUAAUUACGGAACUUAUUGUUCUUUUAUUUAAUUUACAUAUUUAAAAUAUGAUAAGAUUUGAUUAGUUAAGUUUUAUUAUUUCCUUCAUUUAAUUUGUACAACUAAAACAUGAUGAAAAUUAAUUAUUAUAAUUUAUGUAUAAAAGAAUAAUUUGGUUUUUUAGAUUAGAAUUUUUAAUUAUAUAGGAAUAUAAUUAUAUUAGUUUUAUUUAUUAUAAUAUAAUUUAUUAUUUUUUAAAUUAUUUAUUAUUUAUGCAUAAAUUAUAGUUUUAUAUUAUUUAUUUUCUAUCCAAUAAAUAUCAGAACUGAAAAAAGUUUACUUCCACAGCUAUAAAACAAAUAGUAGGGAAGUGGUUUUUAUCUAACUCCACUUCAACCCAAAAUCUACUUAAAUUCAAAGUCCAGUUUCACCUAAAAUUUUAAAUUUUUUGUAUUUAGUUUGGGUGUCUGACUUGAAAUCAAACCGACCGAAUUAACCAAUUAAAUGAGCAAGAAUACUCUUUUAUGCUUGAAAAUCAAAUUAUAUUUUACAUUUUAAAAUAUUUUUAAAAAUAAAAUAAAAUUUUUGUAAAUUUUAUUUUACAAAAUCAAUCAAACUGACCAAAUGCUUUCCCCUAGAAAUGCCACAUUCACCUAAAAUUUUAAAUUUUUUGUAUUUAGUUUGGGUGUCUG